rnacentral:rRNA from 1 species
AUUGAACGCUGGCGGCAUGCUUUACACAUGCAAGUCGAACGGUAACAGGCCGCAAGGUGCUGACGAGUGGCGAACGGGUGAGUAAUGCAUCGGAACGCGCCCAGUCGUGGGGGAUAACGCAGCGAAAGCUGCGCUAAUACCGCAUACGAUCUAUGGAUGAAAGCGGGGGACCGUAAGGCCUCGCGCGAUUGGAGCGGCCGAUGUCAGAUUAGGUAGUUGGUGGGGUAAAGGCUCACCAAGCCGACGAUCUGUAGCUGGUCUGAGAGGACGACCAGCCACACUGGGACUGAGACACGGCCCAGACUCCUACGGGAGGCAGCAGUGGGGAAGUUUGGACGAUGGGCGCAAGCCUGAUCCAGCAAUGCCGCGUGCAGGAAGAAGGCCUUCGGGUUGUAAACUGCUUUUGUACGGAACGAAACGGCUCUGGUUAAUACCCGGGGCUAAUGACGGUACCAUAAGAAUAAGCACCGGCUAACUACGUGCCAGCCGCCGCAGUAAAAC